UACGAGGGGGGCAAAUGUUGUUCGGAAUCACUGGGCGCAAAGGGAGCGUAGGCGGGCUUCUUAGUUAGAUGUUUAAUCCCGGGGCCCAACCCCGGACAGGCACCUAAAACUGGAAGUCUUGAAUAGUGGAGAGGACGGCGGAAUUGGGGGUGUAGCGGUGGAAUGCGUAGAGAUCCCCAAGAACACCAGUUGCGAAGGCGGCCGUCUGGACACAUAUUGACGCUGAGGCUCGAAAGCAUGGGGAGCAAACAGG
rnacentral:rRNA from 1 species